UACGUAGGGGGCGAGCGUUGUCCGGAGUUACUGGGCGUAAAGGGCAUGCAGGCGGUCCGACACGUUUUGUGUGACAGCGGGUGGCUUAACUACCCGAGGAUACGAAAGACGGUAGGACUUGAGGACUCGAGAGGGACACGGAAUUCCGGGUGGAGUGGUGAAAUGCGUAGAGAUCCGGAGGAACACCGAAGUCGAAGGCAGUGUCCUGGCGAGUGACUGACGCUGAGGUGCGAAAGCCAGGGGAGCGAACGGG
rnacentral:rRNA from 1 species